rnacentral:misc_RNA from 1 species
UUUUAUGCAAUCAACAGCCAUGAUGUCCACAAUGUUGCCCCUAUCCACGGCUCUACGCCAGUUCUCGUCGAGACAGGUUACUUUGAACAAUUCUUUCCUCGCAAAAGUAUGUGCAUCACACGUUAAAUCGUUUUCGACGUCCCAUCAUCGCAAUGCUGGUCCCCCGACCAAGGCCGGUGGAAAGACAGUGUACGUCCGUGACAAACCUGUGAUGAACAUUGGGACAAUCGGACAUGUUGACCACGGGAAGACCACAUUAACAGCUGCAAUUACCAAGAUUUUGUCCGAGUCCAAUCAGGCUCAAGCCAGGAGUUACGAGGAAAUUGACUCGAGCCCAGAAGAAAAGAAAAGAGGGAUUACAAUAAACUCGACCCUCGUGACCUACGAGACAGAGAAUAGAAAAUAUGGUCAUAUUGACUGUCCCGGACACAAGGACUACAUCAAAAACAUGAUCACAGGUAAUUUUAAGAAUUUUAUCUUGUUAGUAUAAUGUAAAUUGAUAGUUAGUUGUUUAUAUAACAGAAAAACGAAGAAGGCAUGGAACCGCCCGAAUUUGUUCGGAGACGGGGAAUAUCGAUCCCGAAUUAAAUUCUAAAAUUUGCAAAAUGUAUCUUUGGUUUUAAUGACCACUUAGAAGAAAAAAAAAGCUUUUGUUUAACGGAGUUUUAUUUCGUAUUUUAUCACCUACAAUUACAAUUAUUGUUCCGAAAACUCCAAAAUAAUCUGUUAUUUUCCUACCAGGUACUGCUCAGAUGGAUGGGUGCAUACUAGUGGUUGCUGCAACAGAUGGUGCGAUGCCACAAACAAGAGAGCACAUCCUUCUUGCUAAGCAGAUUGGGGUUGAGAGAAUGGUGGUUUUCAUCAAUAAAGCUGAUGCUUCCGAUGAAGAAAUGUUGGAACUUGUGGAGAUGGAAGUGAGAGAACUUUUAGCCCAGUAUGGCUUUGAUGCAGACAAUACUCCAUUCAUAAAAGGCUCUGCCUUGUGUGCCCUAGAAGGCAAAAACCCAGAGCUUGGAAAAGAAAGAAUAAAAGAACUCUUGGAGCAGUGUGAUUUUUAUCUGCCAGUUCCAACAAGAGAUCUUGACAAGCCCUUCUUUUUACCUGUGGAACAUGUGAUGUCAAUAACGGGAAGAGGAACAGUAGUCACUGGAAAGCUGCAAACUGGAGUGAUCAAGAAAGGCGAAGAAAGUGAAGUUAUCGGAUUCAACAAAAUGUUCAAAGCCCAAAUUAUUGGAGUUGAAAUGUAUCGACAAAUUCUUGAGCAAGCCCAGGCCGGGGACCAGGUGGGAUGUUUGAUCAAAGGUGGGAAAAAGGAUGAUCUUAAAAGAGGCGUGUUUGUGGUGAAACCUGGCACCUACCCCUUGAACAAUCAUGCCGAAGCUAAGGUGUUCUUUGUCUCAGAAAAAGAAGGUGGUCGAUCAAAAGCUUUCAUGAAGAAAUUCUAUGCCAAUGUGUUCAGCUACACUUGGAACAUGAACACUUACUUUGAACUGGUCGACAAAGACAUGGUGAUGCCGGGCGAGGAUGCGAAAGUGAACCUUAAGAUGCAGAAGAAGAUGGGUUUGAAGGAGGGGCAGAGGUUCACCAUCCGUGGAGGGGGUAAUGAUGGGAGCGUAACCGUGGGAUACGGUGUGGUCACAAAGAUAAUGGAUGAGGUCAACUUUGACGACAUGCAGGCAGAGCUUAUAUCAGCUAAAAAAGCUAAGAAGAAGCUUGAAAAAGCCAACAGCUAAAUGUCUAAAUAUUAAACUUUCAUCUUGGACUUCUUUAAAUAUAUUGUAUUUUAGAAGAGACGAACAUGACCUUUGGUCCGCAUUUUUAGUACAUUGUGUAGAUGUGACUGAUUGUAUGAUUGCCAUUUUGUCUAUAUAAAAUUCAUCCAUGAAUUCAGU